rnacentral:rRNA from 1 species
UACGAAGGGGGCUAGCGUUGCUCGGAAUCACUGGGCGUAAAGCGCACGUAGGCGGCUUUUUAAGUCAGGGGUGAAAUCCUGGAGCUCAACUCCAGAACUGCCUUUGAUACUGGGAAGCUUGAGUCCGGGAGAGGUGAGUGGAACUCCGAGUGUAGAGGUGAAAUUCGUAGAUAUUCGGCGGAACACCAGUGGCGAAGGCGACUCACUGGCCCGAUACUGACGCUGAGGCGCGAAAGCGUGGGGAGCAAACAGG